GACGAAGGGGGCUAGCGUUGUUCGGAAUUACUGGGCGUAAAGCGAGUGUAGGUGGUUGUCCAAGUUGGAUGUGAAAGCCUUGAGCUCAACUCAAGAAAUGCAUUCAGGACUGGGCGGCUAGAGGACCGGAGAGGAUAGUGGAAUUCCCAGUGUAGUGGUGAAAUACGUAGAGAUUGGGAAGAACACCAGUGGCGAAGGCGGCUAUCUGGACGGUUUCUGACACUAAGGCGCGAAAGCGUGGGGAGCAAACAGG
rnacentral:rRNA from 1 species